GUCCACGCUGUAAACGAUGGGUGCUAGUUGUCGGCAGGCAUGCCUGUCGGUGACGCAGCUAACGCAUUAAGCACCCCGCCUGGGAGUACGGCCGCAAGGUUAAACUCAAAGAAUUGACGGGGCCCGCACAAGCGGUGGAGCAUGUGGUUUAAUUCGAAGCAACGCGCAGAACCUUACCCACGUUUGACAUGUCCAGUUUGGUCGCCAGAGAUGGCUUCCUUCAGUUCGGCUGGCUGGAACACAGGUGCUGCAUGGCUGUCGU
rnacentral:rRNA from 1 species